ACCAUUUAGUGGGGAAUAACUGUUGGAAACGACAGCUAAUACCGCAUAAUAUUGCUGGAUAAUUUCCAGUAAUGAAAGGAGCUUUCAAGCUCCGCUGAUUGAUGAGGAUGCGGCGCAUUAGCUAGUUGGUAGGGUAAUGGCCUACCAAGGCAAUGAUGCGUAGCCGAUCUGAGAGGAUGAACGGCCACAUUGGGACUGAGACACGGCCCAAACUUCUACGGAAGGCAGCAGUAGGGAAUUUUUCACAAUGGGCGAAAGCCUGAUGGAGCAAUGCCGCGUGACUGAUGAAGGUCUUCGGAUUGUAAAGGUCUGUUGUAAGGGAAGAAAUGGUAAAACAGGAAAUGGUUUUAUCUAUGACGGUACCUUACCAGAAAGCCACGGCUAACUAUGUGCCAGCAGCCGCGGUAAUACAUAGGUGGCAAGCGUUAUCCGGAUUUAUUGGGCGUAAAGGGUGCGUAGACGGUUUUGCAAGUCUGANGUUAAAUUUAGGAGCUCAACUCCUAAUCGCCUUGGAAACUACAAGACUAGAGUAUAGGAGAGGUUAGUGGAAUUCCAUGUGUAGCGGUGGAAUGUGUAGAUAUAUGGAGGAACACCAGUGGCGA
rnacentral:rRNA from 1 species